rnacentral:rRNA from 1 species
GCUGUAAUGGCAGGUCAGCAUACUGCCGUGAAUACGUUCCCGGGCCCUUGUACACACCGCCCGUCACACCAUGAGAGUUGGAAAUACCCGAAGCCUGUGAGCUAACCUUAUAGGAGGCAGCAGUCGAAGGUAGAGUCAAUGAUUGGGGUGAAGUCGUAACAAGGUAGC